rnacentral:rRNA from 1 species
GACGAACGCUGGCGGCGUGCCUAAUACAUGCAAGUAGAACGCUGAAGGAGGAGCUUGCUUCUCUGGAUGAGUUGCGAACGGGUGAGUAACGCGUAGGUAACCUGCCUGGUAGCGGGGGAUAACUAUUGGAAACGAUAGCUAAUACCGCAUAAUAGCAGUUGUUGCAUGACAACUGUUUGAAAGGUGCAAUUGCACCACUACCAGAUGGACCUGCGUUGUAUUAGCUAGUUGGUGGGGUAACGGCUCACCAAGGCGACGAUACAUAGCCGACCGGAGAGGGGGAUCGGCCACACUGGGACUGAGACACGGCCCAGACUCCUACGGGAGGCAGCAGUAGGGAAUCUUCGGCAAUGGGCGGAAGUCUGACCGAGCAACGCCGCGUGAGUGAAGAAGGUUUUCGGAUCGUAAAGCUCUGUUGUAAGAGAAGAACGAGUGUGAGAGUGGAAAGUUCACACUGUGACGGUAUCUGACCAGAAAGGGACGGCUAACUACGUG